rnacentral:misc_RNA from 1 species
CCUGCCAUGCAAGCGCACCUGUCAUGGCAAAGGUCGGAUGACAAAGAUAUUAACCGAGGACUUCAAGCCCCCCAUGAAUCAAACAAUACUGGGCUUUUCGUCCUGAUAUAUCUUAUACAUCCAUAUGUCACAAAACCCAUCUCCUGCUAUCCACAUCAAUCAAUGAAUUACAUGUCUUCUUAGCCUCAUAUAAUUGCAUGAUAUAAAGGCUACCCAGCAAAGAUCAGAACCAGUGAUCAAGUACACGCAUGCAUAUAGAAGUUCCAGCCAAAUAAAUCAACACCACCAGGAGGAAAUAAACUGCAAGCUGAAUAGAACCCAUGGUCAUCCUUUUUUGACAUAAACGCCACAAAACCCUUAAAAGGAUCCAUGCAGGGAAAAUUUGAAGCAGCAGGCAACAGAACCAUGACAAAUCUGCUACUUGUCAAACCAUAGAUUCAAACGACCCAAUUCAGAUUACCCAUGAAACUACCAUCAGUAUGCAGAUCAAAGAGAGAUCUACACGACAGCAGAAACCAUGGACCUUGAAGAGAAUCCAUGAAGACGAGAUCUGAUUCAAAGAGAUGAGCAGAAUAGGAAGCAGAUAACGAAG